AUGACUGGGGAUAAAAAGAAUUGUGCCCAGCUAAGGAAUGAACAAAGCAAGAAGUAUGAUAGCUUUUCUGAGAACAAGAAAACACCAGUACAACAUCAGAAAUGGGCAGAGAAUUCCCCAAGUUUGGAGCAGUCCCUUGUCCUGCAAGGUCCUGAUGUGUCUGGAACAGUGACCAGGAAAGUGCGUGAUGCCACCAGUCAAACCACAGGCUUGGUCUUCAUGAUUAAAGACUGCAAAAACACAGAACUUCAUGCUCAGGAUCACAUUUUAUUACAUCUGGAACGUGUAAAUUCAGCUGGAACGGAUGAAGCUAUAGCCACAUCCACUACAACAGAAGGCAGAAAGUGUGUGAUUCCGGUAAGAAAAAUCACCUCUGGAAUUCCACUUCUGCUUAAAGUAAUGGUGUCCCAGGUUAUACCUGCCUUAAGACAGGACCAGCACAAGAUGCUUCAGCUAAACACUUAUUUUUCACAUGGGCUGACUUCCUAUCACUAUCACUAGUUCCUUUCUUAUUUCCUACGUCAGUGACACUACCCUAAAGAGAGUGUACAUGUAUACACACUUAUAUUUUGAGCCUGUAUAUGCUGACAUUUAGAUGAAGACUAGUGCAAAAGUAGAUUUAAUCUCUGAUCUCUGUGCCAGUCUGCUAAGAGCAAAGUCCCUUUUCCUUAGGAUGUUAAUUCUAUCUCUUGCAUAUUUAUGCUCUAGGAAUCUGUGCUGAAGGAAAAGGCAUUUGUUUCAAAUGCAAAGAUAGAACCUAAAGAUAAUGAAGAUAUUAAUCCAUGUUUCAGCAAGUUUACAGUGAAAAACUUGGGGAUGCUUACUACAUUGUGUAACUUAUGUCAGGCUCAGACAGAAAAUAUUCCUCAAGAAACAGGUAAAUCAUAUUUAAUGCUAUUAUGUCCAAUCUGUUUCAACCACUUCAAUCAAACUUUAAUCCAGACAGAAAGAGAGACAAUCUUCUCACUUAUUACUGAAGUGUCUUGCUCACUAUACCUAAAGUAUAAAUCACUGCUAGGUAAGAUGGUGGAGAUCUCGCUAAGGUUUAUUAUGAGAUAUGAUUACACUGCUUCCUCAGAACAAAAUCAUAACUUAUUCUGAUUGUGUCAUUAACAAUUUACUUUCUUUUGAGGCAUUUUUUAAAUAAUUUAAGGGUGUUCACUUUAAAAGAACAUAGAUCAGUUGAAUAUAGACUUCAACAGCGCAUGCUGCAGUUAUUUUUGUUUCCAGGUUUUAUUCUCAGUUCAUAUUUCUUGCUCUCAGUACAACAUAUAAAAAUAAAACUGGCUGUUAUAUAUGAGCCAGUUACAUAAUUUAUAGAGUUCUGGGUAUGCAUAAUCUCUGUAUUAUUAAAUACUUGCAUUUUGUGGUAAUAUUUCAUAUUUUUCUUUUUCUAAUUAGCUACUCUUCUGCAUCUACUCCUAGAUACCAUAGUGAGUGAGACUGUAGGUCUGUAACUAAGAGUUAGUAAAAAUGGUCUUGAUGAUAAAAGUUCUGCAGAGGCUGCACACUUACUGGAUUCUCAAGCCUUGCUCUUAGCAUGUGGACAGCAAACUGUCUGAUAUAAAACUUGUCCCUCAGGUAAAGAGAGAGCUUCCCAUGGAUUUCAGUGGAUUACAAUUUCACCGUUAGUGUUUUGACUUUAUUUUUGUAUUUGGCAGGAGUCUCAUGCUCUUUCAUAACAUAGAGCGUGAGUGCAGAGGUGACAUGAACUCUAGUAGCAAGCCUUAAAUUGUUUUAGUCGUGGCACUUAGUGUGACUGAGGUGAUGGAGAACCUUGUAUUUGUUUUCUGAGUAACCUGUGUUUCAGGUGAUGAUGCACCAUCCUUAAUAGAAGAUCAAGAGAAUGAUUCUCUGACAGUGGAGAAAGUACAUGGGGAGCAGAGAAGUCACAGAACUCCAAGAGAAGAGCAGGGCUCCUGUCCGUUUCAGGUAUGCAGCAAGCUUAUAGUUUUAUCUUAAAUGUUUUUCUCACCUAAAUUUUCAUCAGAAGAAAUCCUCAGUGUUGGCUGUCAUGGAGAUAUUACACCUGGGACUCAGCUUGCACAUUGAGAAGCUGAAGCUGUAUGAAGUUUUGUUGUACUGAGCUAAAAUAUUGCCCUUAAAUCUGGGGGAAUUUCAAUAGCAAUUCAUUGGCAUUCUUCAGUUUUCCUGCAUACUUAGUGAUUCUUGAUCAUAGUCUCUUCAGACUCAGACACAGAAGAAAGAUCCUUCUUUUGACACUGAAGAUAAUGAAAGAAGGUCAGCACUGAUUUCCAAUGAAGCUAUGGUAGCAAAAACGCAGUUAUGGAAGGAAAACUCACUACAGGAGCAGCAGAGGUACGAGAUCUGUCAAGGUCAAGACCACCUGCCGUACAUUCUGCUUCUUGUCGAUGUGUCAAAUGUUGCCUUGUUUGGGUUUAAUGCCCACAGUCGGGUUCUGUUGUGGAAAGGGGGGAGGCAGGCUAUAAUGACCUUAACCUGGGACUUAGUUUGUCUUGUAAAACCUUUAAAAAAAAUAAAAAGGGGGGGGGGGGGAAGCUCUCACAAACUAAUAAUAUUUAAUACAUGCCAUGUUAAUCAAAUAUUGGCUGCCAAUUUUUCUUCGGAUGUCUAAUUUUUUGGAGUCAGCUGAAGGUAUGUUGAAAUCAACUUGGAAAAGAAGUCGUCAUCUUUUCAGAAGACUGGGCUAGACAGAAAGCAUCAGCAGUAACAACUAAAAACAAGGCAUUUUGCAUUAUGCUGUCUGUAGAUAGCAAAUACACCCAAAGAAAUAUGAUGUUCUACACCAACGUUCUUGAAUGCCACUGAGUGCCUUCACUUUGUAACUUCAGUUUUAUCCUAAUUACAAUGUGGUGUUUUCAGGGUUAGCCCAGACUCCGAGAGAAAAGCAGAAGUUGUGCAUAUGAAUGAAAAAGCACCUUCUGAAAUUCUGUCUUCAGAAGGUAGGAAGUGCCUUUUCCCAACACGCCUUCUACAUUUACUUAAUUUAUAAUCUGAGUAAUAAUUCUUCCUGGAGUUGUUCAUAGAGGAUAAUAGUCUGCUGCCUGUACCAGGCAGUGAAGUUGCUCUUUGGGCUAAAACAAUAAAGAUCUUAAUGUAUACCCUACAUUCAAACCUUUCUUAUCAACUACCUUGGACACUACUGUGUUAGCUUGUUUACUAAGUUAAUGAUUUCUUCAUCUUUAUUUGAUGUCUUAUUUAUUUUUUGUAUGAUUUGAUAUUAAAAACAAUCUUCAAGUUGACUCAGCAUUUAACACUGCUGACUUUUGAAUGCAAUUCACUGCUGAGGACUACCAGACCUGAAUCAGAAGUUAACUAUCAGCACUUCUAUCAAAUACUUCUCUGAAAUUAUUUUU
rnacentral:lncRNA from 1 species